UGAAUACGAGACGCUAAGGCGUCGAAGUAGUGUAUGUCAUACUUCCAAGAAAAGCUUGCACUGUCAUAGAUAAAAAACGCCUGUACCAUACCGACACAGGUGGGUAGGUAGAGUAUACUAAGGGGCGCGAGAUAACUCUCUCUAAGGAACUCGGCAAAAUAACUCCGUAACUUCGGGAGAAGGAGUGCCUUAUUCGUAAGGUUGCAAUAACAAGAUCCAAGCAACUGUUUAUCAAAAACACAGGUCUCCGCUAAGUCGUAAGACGAUGUAUGGGGGCUGACGCCUGCCCAGUGCCAGAAGGUUAAAGAAGUUGGUUAGCAAUUGCGAAGCUGAUAACUGAAGCCCUGGUGAACGGCGGCCGUAACAAUAACGGUCCUAAGGUAGCGAAAUUCCUUGUCGGGUAAGUUCCGACCCGCACGAAAGGCGUAAUGAUUUGGAUACUGUCUCGGAGAGGGGCUCGGUGAAAUAGACUUGUCUGUGAAGAUGCGGACUACCUGCACCAGGACAGAAAGACCCUAUGAAGCUUUACUGUAACUUGAAAUUGAAAUUGGACUUUAUUCGCGCAGUAUAGGUGGGAGGCGUUGAUUAUAAUCUUGUGGGAUUAUUGGAGCCAUCAGUGAGAUACCACUCUUGUAAUGUUAGAUUUCUAACUUUGAAUCAUUAUCUGGUCAAAGAACAGUUUCAGGCGGGCAGUUUGACUGGGGCGGUCGCCUCCUAAACGGUAACGGAGGCGUACAAAGGUUUCCUCUGAACGGUUAGAAAUCGUAUCUAGAGUGUAAAGGCAUAAGGAAGCUUGACUGUGAGACCUACAAGUCGAGCAGGGACGAAAGUCGGUCUUAGUGAUCUGACGGUACUGAGUGGAAAGGCCGUCACUCAACGGAUAAAAGUUACUCUAAGGAUAACAGGCUGAUCUCCCCCAAGAGUUCACAUCGACGGGGAGGUUUGGCACCGUGAUGUCGGCUCAUCGCAUCCUGGGGCGGUAGUACGUCCCAAGGGUUGGGCUGUUCGCCCAUGAAAGCGGUACGCGAGCUGGGUUCAGAACGUCGUGAGACAGUUCGGUCCAUAUCCGGUGUAGGCGUUAGAAUAUUGAGAGGAGCCUUCUUUAGUACGAGGGGACCGAGAAGGACAUACCUCUGGUGUACCAGUUAUCGUGCCAACGGUAAACGCUGGGUAGCUAUGUAUGGAGUGGAUAACCGCUGAAAGCAUCUAAGUGGGAAGCCCACCUCAAGAUAAGUAUUCUCAUC
rnacentral:rRNA from 1 species